CGUAUCACCCAAGACAACUUUGCGGAGUUGACGAUUGACGGAGCGAAGCGACGUCAAAGCGUUCAUUAAAGUCGAGUUGGCUUAGGGAUACGUUCGUUGGGUAGGGGAGCGUUCUGUAAGCCUGUGAAGGUGGCCUGUGAGGGUUGCUGGAGGUAUCAGAAGUGCGAAUGCUGACAUAAGUAACGAUAAAGCGGGUGAAAAGCCCGCUCGCCGGAAGACCAAGGGUUCCUGUCCAACGUUAAUCGGGGCAGGGUGAGUCGACCCCUAAGGCGAGGCCGAAAGGCGUAGUCGAUGGGAAACGGGUUAAUAUUCCCGUACUUGGUGUUACUGCGAAGGGGGGACGGAGAAGGCUAUGUUGGCCGGGCGACGGUUGUCCCGGUUUAAGCGUGUAGGUGUGUGUUCCAGGUAAAUCCGGUUCACUUUAACACUGAGGCGUGACGACGAGGCACUACGGUGCUGAAGCAACAAAUGCCCUGCUUCCAGGAAAAGCCUCUAAGCAUCAGGUAACAUCAAAUCGUACCCCAAACCGACACAGGUGGUCAGGUAGAGAAUACCAAGGCGCUUGAGAGAACUCGGGUGAAGGAACUAGGCAAAAUGGUGCCGUAACUUCGGGAGAAGGCACGCUGACACGUAGGUGAAGUGAUUUACUCACGGAGCUGAAGUCAGUCGAAGAUACCAGCUGGCUGCAACUGUUUAUUAAAAACACAGCACUGUGCAAACACGAAAGUGGACGUAUACGGUGUGACGCCUGCCCGGUGCCGGAAGGUUAAUUGAUGGGGUCAGCGCAAGCGAAGCUCCUGAUCGAAGCCCCGGUAAACGGCGGCCGUAACUAUAACGGUCCUAAGGUAGCGAAAUUCCUUGUCGGGUAAGUUCCGACCUGCACGAAUGGCGUAAUGAUGGCCAGGCUGUCUCCACCCGAGACUCAGUGAAAUUGAACUCGCUGUGAAGAUGCAGUGUACCCGCGGCAAGACGGAAAGACCCCGUGAACCUUUACUAUAGCUUGACACUGAACAUUGAGCCUUGAUGUGUAG
rnacentral:rRNA from 1 species